rnacentral:rRNA from 1 species
CCUACGGGGUGCAGCAGUGAGGAAUAUUGGUCAAUGGUCGGGAGACUGAACCAGCCAAGCCGCGUGAGGGAGGAAGGUACAGAGUAUCGUAAACCUCUUUUGUCAGGGAACAAAGGCGGGGACGUGUCCCCGGAUGAGUGUACCUGAAGAAAAAGCAUCGGCUAACUCCGUGCCAGCAGCCGCGGUAAUACGGAGGAUGCGAGCGUUAUCCGGAUUUAUGGGGUUUAAAGGGUGCGCAGGCGGUCUGUUAAGUCAGCGGUCAAAGCCCGGGGCUCAACCCCGGCCCGCCGUUGAAACUGGCAGUCUCGAGUUGGAGAGAAGUAUGCGGAAUGCGCGGUGUAGCGGUGAAAUGCAUAGAUAUCGCGCAGAACUCCGAUUGCGAAGGCAGCAUGCCGGCUCCACACUGACGCUGAGGCACGAAAGCGUGGGUAUCGAACAGGAUUAGAUACCCCUGUAGUC